GCAAUUCUUUUUUAGACCACGAGUGCCGUGUGCUGAUCAUCCACCUUCUCCUUCCCAAAUCGAUAAUAAUAUUAAUAUUCAAGAAUCUAAUAAUGAGAAUGAAUACGAAGAAGUUGUCGAUGCCGUCGACGAUGAAGUUGCCAAUGCAUUGCAUGAACUCCACAUGGAAAACUAUGAUGACGAAGACGAGGGAGAUUGUUUAUUAAGUUCGAGUUUUGGAAAUAUUUAUAAUCCAACAUCAAAACGAUUCUGAUGUACUUCAAGACCUGGUCAUUUAUCCAACUGAUUGUGUCAUUGUUACCGCGCGUACUGUAAAUCAUGAAUACGGUCUUCUCGAGGUAACUAAACUGUUACUUGUAACAGUCAAGUGGCUUCUUCUUCCAUGCAUGCUGUUACUAAAUAGGACAUGCUUGAAUUGAUUUAUUUCUAACGACUUUAAGAGUAAUGGAAACAACACAUCACAUCUCCUCAGUUUUAUUUUCCUAAGCUCUCUACCAUAGUUUAUAAUUAUAUGAAACCAUUUGCUUUAUUUUAAGUUUUGGUAUAAAAAUAACAUACAUAUUUAUUUAUAUGAUUAAAUAAGUUGAGUCUUUAUAAAUGUUGUUUUUAGUCGUUAUGCAAAAUUUCGUCAACAUUUAAUCUCUUAAUACUGUAGAACAUGUUUAACGACUUUCUUACGAAAAUUUUAUAAUGUUUCUACAAAAUAUCAUUCAAAAUUUUGAAUAAUAUACAAGAGUUGAUUUAAAAUUAGGGACAAAAAUUAGGGACAAUGACUGAACAUAAAUAAUUAAAAGUUGAUUAAAUUUUUAUAAAAAUAGUGAAUUUUUAUAGAUACUGAAAAUUUAUUUAACCCUCAUUUAUAUGAUAUGAUAAGCACUUAUGUUACCAAAACUUGGUUGGCUCAAGUGGAAAGGGAUUUAAACAUCUUAACCAAAUGGUCAAAGGUUCGAUGUCUCUAGCUUUUGCGUACAGAGAAAAUCUGGUUGGGAGGUGAGUCUUGAAGAUGAUAUUGUUCAGUGUUUUGAUGUUCGGACUGCAAGCUCUGAUUCCACAUCUGAGCUCAAUCCUACUUUCACCCUUCAUGCACAUGAUGAAGCUGCUACAUCAGUAUCCUACAAUCUGUCGGCACCUAAUCUUCUUGCUACCGGAUCCUCGGACAAAACGGUAAAGCUUUGGGAUCUGUUCAACAACCAACCAACUUGUGUAGCAUCUAAAAAUCCUGGAGUAGGGGAUAUAUUUUUUAUUUCUUUCUCUAAGGACAACCCCUUCAUCUUGGCUAUAGGAGGCGAAAUAGGAAAAUUGCAAGUGAAGACAGUCAACGAACUUUUACUUUUUUAUUCUUGAUAGUUUCUCCAUAAAAUUCACUUUUGCAACUAAUUAUUAUUUUAUAGAUAUGGAACACCUUAUCUGAUUCUGCCAUCUAUGGGACCUAAUAGAAGUAAUGGAGCUACUCUUUUUAGUUUUUGUUUUUGUCUUAUUUUUCUUUUUCUAGACAUAUAUAUGUUCUUUCACGUGGAUUUAUUAAAUAGUUUUUAUUUUGAAAUGGACAGACUAGUUUUUACA